rnacentral:rRNA from 1 species
UACAGAGGGGGCAAGCGUUAUUCGGAAUUAUUGGGCGUAAAGGGCGCGUAGGCGGCCUGGCAAGUGGAAGGUGAAAUCCCUCGGCUUAACCGAGGAACUGCCCUCCAAACUGCUUGGCUUGAGACCGGGAGAGGUGAGUGGAAUUCCCAGUGUAGCGGUGAAAUGCGUAGAUAUUGGGAGGAACACCAGUGGCGAAGGCGGCUCACUGGACCGGUACUGACGCUGAGACGCGAAAGCGUGGGGAGCAAACAGG